CGGAGGAUCCAAGCGUUAUCCGGAAUCAUUGGGUUUAAAGGGUCCGUAGGCGGUUUUGUAAGUCAGUGGUGAAAUCCGGCAGCUCAACUGUCGAACUGCCAUUGAUACUGCAGGACUUGAAUUAUUGUGAAGUAACUAGAAUAUGUAGUGUAGCGGUGAAAUGCUUAGAUAUUACAUGGAAUACCCAUUGCGAAGGCAGGUUACUAACAGUGGAUUGACGCUGAUGGACGAAAGCGUGGGGAGCGAACAGGAUUAGAUACCCUGGUAGUCCACGCCGUAAACGAUGGAUACUAGCUGUUCGGCAGCAAUGCUGAGUGGCUAAGCGAAAGUGAUAAGUAUCCCACCUGGGGAGUACGAACGCAAGUUUG
rnacentral:rRNA from 1 species